rnacentral:lncRNA from 1 species
UUUCAUAUUCAUUAAGUUUCUGUACAUACCUGUACUCAUUCGUAACAUAACUUAAGUUCGUUCUUUUCAAUGACAUACCUCAUUGGGACCAUCAUCAAAUCCUUCCUUGAAUUACCCCUUGAACACUCGGAAUAUUAAUGGAUACACAGAAACUUGCACAUAGUGCCAUAUACGCAGUUAGAACCAACUCAUAGAGCGUAACGUAUGUAGCUAAAGCUACC